ACCACAAAUGUAUUUUCAGGUUUAAAUCCAUGCUCUGAUUCCACAUGGAGAGUUGCUGCAGACUUUUCUGACUUUUGGAAUUUUAUCUGUGUUUUUACUGAGAGCUAUUUCUGCUAUCUUCAAAUUACUAGUUUUAAGAUUUUGAAAUUUUAUUAUCUGUCUUAUGUUAUACUUAGUUUCCACCUUAAUUGUAACAAAAUAAUAUUUCAGAGAUGAAGUUCAAAAUCAUGGAGUUUCAUGACUUGGAUUCUCAUGCCAGCCCUGAGCUUGCUGGUUGGGCAGGCAGUCCUGGCAAGAUCCCUGGAUUUUUAUGAAAUACAAUUUCCAGGGUGAGAGCUACUGAACCCAGAAAAUACUUGAAAUAAACAUAUCCCUAGGUUUAGUUACCUGUUGAAUAUGAUGCUGUUCUGAAGCCAGAUAUCUAUAGUCCAGCCAAAAAUGAAUGGUAAUGAUUUUAUUUUGACUAUCUAGAUUAAUGAUUAAAGAAAAAGGGCAUCCUGGCUUUUCCAGGUGAUUUGUGUGACUUAGAGAUAAUAGGGUCCACAUGAUAGCAGGCCGGUGUUGACCUUGCUGAGCAGCAUUACUAACUAAAACCAUUUAAAACUGGCCUGGUUUCCUCGGUCUUCUUCAUUUCUUCAGUCUGCAUUUAUCAAGCACCCACAGUGUGCCCACCCACCCCUGAGCUUAGCAGUAAGGAACCAAAGACAAACACAACAAAGUCAGUGCUCAGUGAGAGAGGAAGAUAACUAACCAGUCUGUGAUCACCUUGUUCACAGACUGUAUUAGGCCAUUUUUACAUUGCUAGUGUAAAAAAAAAAAAAAAAAAGGCUGGGUAAUUUAUAAGGAAAAGAGAUUUGAUGAUUGGCUCACGGUUCUGCAGGGGGCACAUGCAUGGCUCCAGCAUCUGCUUCUCGUGACGGCCUCAGGAAGCUUCUAAUCAUGGCAGAAGGGGAAGGAGUGCAGGCACAUAACAUGACAAGAGCAGGAGCAAGAGAGAAAGGGGCAAGGCACCACACUUUCAAACAACGAGAUAUCUCGAGAGUCACUCACUAACGCAAGGACAGCACCAAGCCGUUCAUGAGAGAUCUGUGACCUCCAUGACCCAGACACCUCCCACCAGUUCCUACCUCCAACGUGGGGGAUUACAUUUCAACAUGGGAUUUGGAGGGGACAGACAUCCAAACUAUCAGAGACUACUUAGUCCCAAAACAAACUAAAGCCAAAGGAAUUAGAUAUUCCAUAUUUGGUCUACUUGUUGUGAAGGAAGAAUUGCUGCAAGAAUUCAAAUGUACUAAAAUUCAAAUGAAAUGGCCUGAUCUAUGCCAGAUUUUAUGAAAUGUGUUUAUGCUAAACCCAGGAAAAGUAUUUUUCUCAGUCUUGUUUUUUCUUCUAUGUACAUGCAUAGAAAGCAACUAUUCUAAGAGGUAAUAUUCUGAAAUAUUACUUUAAAUGGCAAGUUUUCUCAAUUGAAGAUAUAACACAUUUUAAGUAAAACAGUAAUCUCUCAGUUUCCAAUAAGUACACUUAAGCUGUGGUUAAAUUAUAUUACCCUAGCAGAAAAAUGGGUAGAAUGGAAAUAUAGAUAAAAACAAUGGUUACAAUUUUGACAUUACAAAUAAAUCUUCCCAAAAUUAUACCAAUACACUGUUUCCAACAUUGGAGAGAUUAGAGAACAAAUAAUCAAAAAAUUAUCAUAUCUUUCCACAGGAUAGCAUAAAUACAUGUGUUUUCUAUUAGAGCUUAAAAUAGGAGUUUAGAACCAAACUAUGAUGCAAAAUUGAAAAUGCAUAAUUGAUUUGAAAUGUUUAGCAUAUGCUAUAUAACUUUAAUUUUUUCUUUUAAAAAGUUUUCUUUUUAUGAAAUACUAUAUGCACACAACAACGUGACUUUCUCCUGACAUUUCUCUUUAAUGAUAAAUUGGAAAAUUCAAAUUUUAACUCUUUGAUACUACAUCACAGUGUGUAGUAUCAAACAUUGAUUAUUCAUGCUUAUCAACUAGUGAACCAACCCGUCAUGGCUCGAGAAAAUGAUUAACCAUCUCUGAAUUAAUAACUCCUUGCUGCUGUUCACCCUGAAGCACACUAUGUAGAUUAAGCAGCCUCUUAGAAAAUCAAUACCCACAACUGCUGGGAAGGAUACCUGCUUAUCUCUUUGAAGUGCUACUGCCAAUCACCAGACUAAACUUCUUUUCUAUUUCAUGGCAACAUUUUAAGUCAGAUCAUCUGGAAUGUCUCCAAACUUGGUAAAAAUACAAAUAAAACUUUUACAUUCACCUAACAAUGAAUAAAAAUUAACACAUUCUUAUUUGAACAUAUGGUUCUCCCAUCCUGGGAAUCCAAUACUUUGUAUACCUUACUGUAGUUCUAAAUAAUGUGGACCAUUUGGUAUUUUUACAUCAUGGGAGUACAUUUGUGUAAUUCCUAUUUUUCUAAAACUUGUGUAGUGAGUCAUUUAACCAUCAUUAAUUUUAGAAAGUAAACCUUUUAGGCUAAAAAAGAAUACUCUUUAGUUAUUUCUGUCUUUUUCCAGAGAAAAAGACAAAAAAGCAUUGGAGUGUGCUAAAAAGACUCACAAUAUUUAGGAGCAAUCUCCACAUCUUUCUGUCAGCGUCUUCUGUAGGUCAGGAGACCAUACAUGUUGCUAUUCUUCUGACUUCUAACCAGGAUAGUCAAGAGAUCCUUCCAAGCAAUGUGAGUUACAGGCCCCCAUCCCUUUUCCCCAUAGCUUCCUCCCAUAGUAAAAUUUUGGUGCUUUGGAGUCUCUCACAUACCAAACCUGUAGAUUCCUCUAACCUUGUCAAGUUCACUACUUUUAUAUUGCAAGGCAAGGUAGCAGCUGUCUAUCUAACUUUAAUAUUACAUUUAUGUAGCUAUGAAAAUAAUGCAUACAAUUGGAAAAUAUUCAAUUAAAGCGAUGCAUGAACCUUCUUUAUUUCCCUCAGUAUUAAGAGGAUCAGGUUGAAAGAAGAAUAAAUGGUUGAAAGUAUCGAAUAUGCUCAAUACUUUCAACCAUUUAUCAAAGUUGAAAAUAUCGAAGAAAGAUGAGUUUUGAACCACACAUAUUUUUGUGUUUACCAAUUAUAUUAAUAGCUUUUAUUUUUUAGUUUGUAUAAAUCUGGGGGGUAAAAGUGUAGUUUUGUUACAUGCAAAGUGGGGAAGUCAGGGAUUUUAGGGUAUCCAUCACCAGAAUAACAUACGUUGUACCCACUAAGAAAUUUCUCAUCAUCCACUCUCUCAGUUGCUGUUAUGCUCAGUUCUAAGGUGUCUCCAGACAGACAACAUUGCUUUGAGUCAUAUCAGAGUCAGCAUAAGUGGAAGUAGACUAUUUAAAGAUUGUAUUACUAUCUGAGGCAAGCUAGAAUUGCUGAUUACACUGUAAUAAUGUUAUAAGAAAAAGAAGGCAUGAUAUUCUUCCUAUUUAUGUUUUAUUCCCUUUCUCUCACUUUGAAAAAAAUUGUACUUAAAGGUUUCAUAGAUCAAUGUGAUAUAAAACACAACUGAAAAGUAAUGCAACAGCUAUCAAACAGCUGGGCUGUUUCUGAUGUCAGUAACCCAUGUAGCUGAUGCUUGGUGGCUCUGGAUGGCCUGUGGCACGGAAGGUGGGGUGGGGUCAUUCCACACCUGAAGUGUCAGAAAUUUCUUAAUUUCUUAAUUGAUCUCCAUAUCUUCAGAGCUUCUUCCCCACAACAAAUCCUGGACUUUGCUUCCAUUUGUCAAGUGCUACUGCUUCUACAAAAGCACCCAGGAGCUCCCAUCUGUCCUCCUCGUCCCCCAUGUUUAGCAGUCAAGGCCCUCCGCACUCUAGUCAUAGUUUACUUCCUUCCUACUAAUUCCCAACAUGCAUGGCUCAGCUCUGUCAAAAUGCUAUCACUACCCACAAGGAACAUUCUUUGCCCUAUAUAACAUUCUCAGAGAGACUGAAUAUAGUCACCGAAUUGCUGCUGCUGAAGCACUUAGAGAUCCUAGUUUGAAAAAUAAGUUAGGCCUAGAAUUAUAUAUGUUGCAUCAAACAGAAAAAACCCAAAAGAUGAAAAGAAGCUCCUCUAGCCCUUGUUAGACACACUCACACACACACACACACACACACACACACACACAAAACCUGAUGAUAAAAGAAAGUCAGCAAUCUAAGAAAGUAAAAUACAAAGCAGAAGGAACCAAGGCAAGCCAAUGACUGCCAGUUGUCUUCUUGGUUUUCAAACACAAUGGCCUUGCAAAUGGUAGUGUGUGAAGAAAAGCUAUUUCCAAGAUUAUCAAGGGAUAAGUCUGAUUUUCAGUUGUUCAAAAAAAAGAUAAUAUUACUAAUUGCAGUAGAAGAUUGACAAAAGCAGGAAGGAGAAAGGGAAAGGAGUUGGCAGACUUUUCAUACACCCAAGCUUAUAACCCAUACUGCUGAUGAAUUCAAUUUGUCAGGAAGUUACAUUAUCUGAUAUCUUAAAUUUUCAAGAAUAAAAACUUGGCCAAGUAAAUUAAUCUGUAUAUAGGACAUUUACAUUUGUUAGAAUGGCAAAAUAGUUAAAACAUUGUCUCCAUGUAGAGAACCAAAAAUACUAGAUGACAAAAUUGAUGAAAAGUAUAGAAUUUAAUAAUUUUAUUAUUUAAUGAUUCAUGAGAUUACAUGUAUGCCACAGAGGUUGUCUGUAGGGAGACAGGUUAUCAUUUUAAAUAGAGUGGAAGCCCUAAAAAUGAUAUUUGUGCAUGAGCCAAGGCUUGGCACCAUGUAGCUUCAGGAAAACAGCCCUGCCCUAUGUACACCCAGAUACUUCCAUAUUUCACUGUACUUCUCCUCUUACACAGAAACAAGAAUGUGGGUAAAUGUAUGUAUGAGAGAGAUGGAGUAAAGACGAUUAGAAUGGUGGCCAUGGAGAGAAGCAAGAGGUAGAGUCCAAUAGCUUGCCACAGAUGCUUUUGACAUACAUAGCAGGGAGUUGACGCUAUCGAUAAUAUGCCAUGUAAAUCACGUCUCCACUCAGCACGUGGCACAAAGCAGAUCUGUGAGAACAACAGUGACUCUGUUGAUUACUAAUUCUGUCUACCCUAAGCAACCACCCUUUAUUGAGGACAACAAUGAAAAAUAAACAAAUCCUAUUUAUGCAUGAAAUUACCAGGAAUAUUUUGCAAUGAAAAAUCAAGACUCUCAAUAUGUUGCUCUGGCAGAGGAUCUGAACAAUGUGGAAACCAGAGACAUCCACAGAGAGCCAGUUAUCUCAGUGUUCACACAGCUUUUGACAUCUUGUGCAACUGGGAUCCCUCCUUCUAGGGCAGCUUUAACAAAAGUUGCUUCUUGACAUAUCGAAUCACCACAGCAAUUUGUGUCUUAAAAAUAAAUUGUCACAACUUACAGAUUAGAUACCUCAAGCAUAGUAGAUGUUCAGUAAUGCUUGUUGUUAUGAUUUGAUUUGACAAGGGCCUUUACUCUUCAAUUAACUUCAAAUCAGAUUAAUCUGAGAUAUUCAAAUUAAAAUGAUGAUGAUGGUACGGGUGGUGGGGGUGGUGAUGAUGAUGAUUUGUCAAAGGGAUUCUUCAUUUAUAGACAAGGCAGAAGACAUUAGCUGUGGUAUGCACAUGCUAUUCCCCAACUUAGUCAAAUUACCUACCAAAUUCUGUAUGUGAGGAGCCUAUUUCCCUUUUACUGCAUCAUCAAGCAAAUAGAAACACACUUUUCUCAUGUACUCCAAGAAUCAUGCUGUAAGCAUAAAAUUAGCUAAAGAACCUGAAUUCUCUAAAUUUUAAGAGAGAAAAUGUGUCCCUUGACCAAGAUCUCUGUUCUUCACUGGUACAUUGUAUUCCAGCUAGAAUUUUCCCAUAGGGUAGCUCUGAUGCUGCCUCCUCUGCAAGCACCUCUCUCUCCACGCUUUUCCACUACCUCUCUCUACUCCAGCUAACCUGGCCUAUCUGAGUCCUUCUACCUGGAAUAUGGUCCUUCUACCUGGAAUAUUUUUUCCUCAGGCCUUCUCUGGCCUUGAAAUAUUCCACUUUAUUCCUUGAAUCUCAGCUUAAGCAUCUCUUUCGCAAAUAUCCAUGAUCCAAAUUGGGUUAGUCCAAUCCCAAGAACCCCUUUAUUAACCCUGUACUAGCACUUAACAUACACUGUAUUGUAUUUGCCAGCUUCUUGGCCUGUCUGCAAGUUCUUUGAGGUGUGCUACCAUCAUUCUCAUUUAUUACUGUAUCUCCUGUGCCCAGCUUUAAAGAUAUUUGAUAAAUGAGUAAAAAAAGAAAAUGUACUGUAGUUGCCUCUGUUAGAAUGUUUUUCUCCCAUGCAAUUCCAGAUCUAAAAGCAGACCUGCUUAUUGAGUUUAUUGAAUUUCUACCUUUUUUUCUGAAAAUCAGAAUGUCUCAGGGUCCAUAAAUUUGCAAGAAGCUCGUGGGAAGCAGAGCAGCACAUAACAACAAGAUAGUUUUUCACUUCCCUUUGUCUCUAGGGGUAAAGAGUUCUUGUCUCAUGGUUCAGGCAUUGUGUUAACUAUUUCUGUGCAAUAUUCAUUCUUUAAGCACAAUUGUAACUGUAGUUUUGAUUGAAAUAUUAACCUAUAAGUGAUCUGGAAUAUAAAAAUAAACAUUCAUCACAGAAUUUUUUUUUUUUUUUGCUCUUGAGAAAAUAGGAAAUAGGUUGAUUUUUCUGGAAUUUGUGAGAUAUAGGUACAUUGCAAAAAAUUAUGCUAACUAGCUAGCUUAAGAAUAUAUGUACAUAUAAAAUGACAGGGUGAUAAAUUUAUUAGCCAAUUUGCUAUUUGUUAUAAGGAAGUCGCUGUCUGGAAAGGCUUCAGAACCCUGUCCAGCUCUACCUCCCCUUCUGACUUUUCAUUUCCUGUGUCUGGGAACCUCAUUGCCUUCUCUCAUGGUCAUGUUAAGUAAUUAUUCUCAUGUGAGGUUACUCUGCUAACCCUCGGCAUUUGGCUCACAGCACAGUUAUUCCCGCGUCAGUAAUGGAGGAUGGAAACCGUCCAUCACUGCGAGACUGUUCCCAUGGCUGAGGAGGAAGAGCUGGUUUCAGUCCCGUUCUUGUUAGUAAAGUGCUGAGAUGUAAAUAGAUUCAUGGCUGUCGAUAAUUCUCCCAUCAAGGAGUUCAUUUAGCUCACUGGAAGAGUUUGCUGUAUUCUAAACUUAACAUAAAAUAAUGAUGCAGGAAAGUUUUAGGUUUAAAAAAAGAAUUUUCACGUGAUACAUUGUAUGUGCCUUUGCGUGCUUGUGUGCAUGUGUGUGUGUGUAAAUGUUGCUCUGAUUUCAGCAUUCUGAUCAAUAAAAGCAGUUUGGGCCAUUUUAUCCUGAAGUAUUAUAUAGGGUAGUCUUGUGAGUUGCUUGAUUAUUAUACAUAGUGUGUGCAGUUAGUACAAAGAAUGUGCAGACUAAAAUGAAGGGGCUGGGGAAUCAAGUUUGUUGUCUCUGAAGUUGAGUUUGAGACUAGAGUGGUUAAAUAAACACUAUUCUAAGAAAUUCCAUCAAAAUAAAUUUGAUAUGCUGCCAGAAAUUCUACAACCGCCUUUUGGAUCUACCACAUUCUCUUGGGAGUUAGAACUACUGCUUUCUAUAGCUACAAUUUUAUUUUUAACUAGAUCUAGUUUUUGUUGGAAAAACUGUCCUAAGAUUAAAAGUUAAUAGUUGAAAUUAAAUUUAAUAAUACAACUGAAUGUAUCAUUUGGCAUUAAUUUUUGGUAGACUUAGGUUUAAAUUUGGACAUCAAAUAUUAUACAAAACUGCAUGCUCAGAAUCAUCUAUUUAAAUUUGGUGUGUUUUUGCAGAAAAGCAAUCUGGAAAAAAUAAAAUAAAUAAAUGUGGACGGUUUGAAGCCCUCAAUGUUCUUGAGCUCAGGAACCUAAAAUCAAAUGUGGCCUCAGAAAGACUUAAUAUUAUUUUUGGAUUUGCACAUUUAGAGGUCACUUCUCAGAACUUAAACACUUCUAAGAGCUUUACUGACAUUCUAACUUUUAAAACUACUUCCUUGGAGAUGAGUACCAAGAAAGGAAGCAAGUCAAAUCUUGCAUCUCAUACUUGCCCUAAACAUGAGACGCCUGUUAUUUUAGAUCAAAUUUAUACUAGAACGUAAUAGAGAUGGCAACUCAUUCACCACCUGUUUACUCAGUGUUAUUAGGUCUUUCUUCUCCAACUGGUCUUCAUUUAUUCAAUAAAGACAUUGGGUAAAUAUCAACAAACAAAACAGUUAUCUUUGCCCUUGUGGAUUCUGGUAGAAGAGCAAGACAAAAAGGGAGAUAAGUAAAUAAAUACAUAGUCUGUAAGAUAAGUGCUAAGGAGAUAAGUACAAUGGGAAUGGAAAGAAGAGAGAUGGGAUAUUGAGUGGGUGACCUCAAUAUAAGGUGACAGUUGAGUAAAAACUUAAAAGGGACGAAGGAGCAAACCAUGACACUAUAUUAGGGAAGGGCAUUCCAGUUAGAGAAAAUAGCAGGUGCAAAGGCCCUGUGGCAGGAAUGUGCCCGGAGAGUUAAAGGAAGAGCAAGGAGGCCUUGGUGGUUGAGUGGGAGAGAGAGAGAGAGAGAGAGAGAGAGUAAUGGCAAACAAGAUCACAAGGGUAUGAGGGUGGAGCAAGAGCAGGGGAGAAUUAGAAAACCUAGGCCCUGAUGGUAUGGUGACUAUAUCAUCUAUUGUCUAAACAGGACAAUUCUGAGAGUGAAGGGAGACACUAUCAUUAAUUAUGUCAGGACAGUAGGCACAAACCAGGACUGUCCUGGGUAAACAAGGAAAACCUAUACACCUUUAAAAAGUUUUUGACUUCUUUCUCUGAAUGAGAUAGGAAGUUUUUGAAAGGUUAUGUCCAGGUGAGUGACAUGAUCUGGUUUACAUUCUAGCAGGAAUAUUCUGGCCAGGCAUGGUGGCUCAUGCCUGUAAUCCCAACACUUAGGAAAGCAGAGGUGGGAGGAUAGCUUGAGCCCAGGAGUUGGCUACUAUGUUGAAAAGUAUUUUCUAAAUCAAUGAAGGGAAAGUAUUCAAUCUUAAAAUAUGUUACAUAUACUAAUAUAGAACAUGAGGGUAUGACCUAAAGCAUAGUGUUUACUCUAUGACAAGCUAAAUCAUGUGACCCUCCCAACAAAUCUAUGACAUGCUACUGUUGCCUGAAUUUUAAAAUGAAAAAAGUAAGGGCAAGAGUGUUAAGUAACUUCCUCAAAGUCACACAGCUAGAAAUGGCAGAUCCAGGAUUUGGAUCAAGCCUGAUCCCAGAGGCUGUGGUGUUAGCCAGCCUGCCAUUCUAUUCUUCCACACACCUCAUAAGACAAACCUUGUAAUUACCAAAAUGUCAUCCCUAAUACUAAUAGACUUUCAAAGACUUUUCAAAGAAAAAAACUUUCCCUUUUAUCUUCUCCACUAAAUCCAACAGCUUCAUUAGUUCCUUCUUUAAGACAGAAGUAACACAUUGUAAAGAAAACGUGUAUAAUAGAGAUUGCACUCGAAAAUAGCAUCUAUAUUGUAAAUCUUACAGAUGGCCUUGGGACAUCUGGUGAACAGGAUUUCUGUAGCCUGUAUUCAUUGUCAUGUCAGUAAGGUCAACUGACAGGAGGAGAGCCAGAAAAUAAAAAAUAAAUAAACUGAGGGGAAAGAUUGAGUUAUUUGAUGUACUAAUUGCCACGACACAUCUGCUCAGAGAAAUGCAUUUUGCCAAAUGGGUGGCUCAUCUAGUUGUCACUUGAAAGGCGAGGCAAUUUGUGGACAGUAUAAAAGAAUGAAUGCCUAUGGCUAGCCCAUAGUUUCAAUUAGGAUAGAAACAUCAGGCUUUACUGAUAAAGCUAGAGGUUGCAUUUCUAGACCUUUCUCCCCGGGUGUUUACCGGAUGCACAGGAGUUAAAAGGAGGGUGUGGAAGCAUAAGAGAUAACAUUCGUGGAUAUGUCUAAACUGAUCAUUAGAAAGAAGCCAGGAAUCCUCAAUUUUUAAAGAUUUGCAUAUAAAGUAUAACUUUUGUGAAAUAGUGCCAUUAAAUCUAAUGCAUAAUGAAUUUCAUUAAUUCCUAAUUUUAAAAGCAACAAAUAAAGAAAACAUUACUGAGCAUUUUUUCAAUGUCAAAAAUAUUGCUUAUCAAAAUAUGAAAGGUAAUGGAUACAUGUUUCUUAAGAAACUAUUGAAUAACACAUUACACCUCAUCCCACAUAAGUUUUACAUCACAUAAAGAAAUUUGCAGAAUGUCUGUACAAAAAAAAAAUCUCUCACCACUGUGAACUUUUAGUUUGAAAAAAGAUUUAAAGUUCAGUUUUCACCAAAUAGAAAUAUCUAGAAUAAAGCAGUUUCUCUUUUCAAAUGGUGUCAUUUAUGUCAUAAGUAUAGUAUUUCACCACAUAUUUUCAUUGUUUCCACAAAUUUUACUUGUUUAUAGAAGCUAAAUCUAUGAAAAUUCGGGUUAUGUUAUAUCAUGUAAGAGUUUUUUAGGCCAGGCACAGUGGCUCACACCUGUAAUCCCAGCACUUUGGGAGGCCAAGGAGGGCGGAUCAUGAGGUCAGUAGAUCGAGACCAUCCUGGCAUAGUCAAACCCCAUCUCUACUAAAAUACAAAAAAUUAGCCGAGUAUGGUGGCGCACACCUGUAGUCCCAGCUACGCAGGAGGCUGAGGCAGGGGAAUCACUUGAAUCUGGGAGACAGAGGUUGCAGUGAGCCGAGAUUGCACCACUGCACUCCAGCCUGAUGAAAAGAGCAAGAUUCCAUCUCAAAAAAAAAAAAAGAGAGAGUUUUUUAAACGUGAUUGAAAUAUAGCAUACAUACAGAAUAAUGUGCCUAAGUAUCAGCUUUGUUAAUUUUCACAAAAUGAACAUGUGUAACCAGGAUCAACAAACAGAGCAUUACCAGCACCCAGAAGUCUGCCAGUCACUCCACUAACCCUUAAGCCACUUACUUUCCUGACUUCUAACAGAAUGAAUUUGUUUGCCUGUUUUUGUGCAUGUGGAAUCCUAUGAUGCUUGUAUGCAUUUUGUCUGGCUUCUCUUACCCAGCAUUAUGUUUGUGAGAGUCAUCCAUAUUGUUGCAUUCACUUGUAAUUCAAUCGUUCUCAUUAUUGUAUAGUACUUCACUGUGUGAAAAUCACACUUUAUCAAUUCUACUAAAGACGGGCAUUAAAUAGUUUCUAGUUUUGAGCUAUUCUGAAUAGUGCAGCUGUGGAUAUUCUAUGCAUCUUUUUUGUGUACAUACAUGUUGAAUAUCUAUGUACCUAUAUAGAUAUAGAAACCUAUAGAUGUGUAUAUGAUAUAUGCAAUAUUUAUGUAUCAACAUAUAUAGCCACGUAAUAAAUAUAUACUUCUCAUAUAAUUUUUCCUGAUCAUAACCCUUUUAUAUUUUACUAUUCAGUAAUGUUGGACAAUUAAACUAGGGUGUGGUACAGAAUUAAGAACUAGGUAGAAAAAAAAAAAAAAAAGAACUAGGUAGAAGAAUUAUUUUUAUUCUUUUAGAGAUGGGGUCUUGCUUCAUUGCCCAGGCUGGUUUCAAACUCCUGGCUUCAAGUAAUCCUCUCAUCUCAGCCUCCCAAAUGACUGGGAUUACAGGCAUGAGCCACCAUGCCCAGCCAAGAAUUCUUUUUUAAUUCUAAAAGUUUAAAGACCUGUAUGGCCUGUGUAUGAACCUGGUCCAUGGUAAUUAUUUGCCUUUCAAGAAAAUCUAUUAUCUGCCUUCAUAAUGGAUAAUUCCCAAAUCAGCUCACACAUUGACUAAGCACCUAUAGAAAACACAGAGGAAUCUAGGAUAACCAUGCCUUCAAGUUGCUCACAUUCUGUUUGAGGAUACAAGCAAAUAUUCAAUAAAGUUAGCCUGGAUACCAGCAGAGUUUUAUACUCAAGUAUUCUCUUGGACUUUUUGAAACCCAAGAACACAAAGAUACUAUUUUUCAUUUGAAAUACCUCUAAAAAUGUUCAUUGAAAGUAGAAAAACUGGCAUCUUAAUACAAGAUUGCUAGGGUAGGGAGGGUUGUUAUUAGAAAUUUGCCAGAUUAGAACACAUGAAGACAGAGCUAAAAGAAAAAUUUUGUUUAAUAUCAUCAGCAAAAUUUGCAUUUGCAACAUCCCAAAAAGAAAUUUUAUUUAUGGAAAUCCACUGAUCACCUAUGAAAUUGAACCAUCUUACAAUGUAAAUACUAUAUACUCCCAGGAAGGCAUUCAGAACUCUGUGAAAUGUCUGAGCACUGGAUUUUUGCAAUCUUAUGUAUAAGAGUUUAAACAUAAGUGAGUCAUUGACACUUUUCCUGCAUUUUGUUCUGGGGUAAUAGCUCCACAGUAAUAUUUUGAUUAAUUUUAUGGAGCAACUUCAGAAUCAUCUCCAGCUCCUGUACCAUCAAAAGGAAGUCAAUGUAGAGGGACUGGUAUGCACUAAGGUGAUAUUCCAGAGCCCAUUUUCAAGCACUGCUGCUUUCUCCUGCUUGAUUCCCUCACCCAGGGGCCAGCAAACAACACUCAGUGGGCCAAAUCUAGCCCACCACCUGUUUUUGUAAAUGAAGUUUUAUCGGAAGACAGCCAUACCUAUUGCUUACGUAUUUUCUAUGGCAGCUUUUGAGGGUAGUUUCAACAAACACCAAAUGGGCCAGAAAGCCUGAAAUAUUUACUAUCUGUGGGCAUUUACGGAAAAAGUUUGUCAAGCCUGGUGGCAUCUCACCAACUGCCCUGCCCCUGCCUCUCAUCUGCCUCCACUUGGUCCUAUGGAAAGUCAAAGCUCAAGAUCAGAAAAUUCCUAAAUGUGAAUAAGACUUCAUAACCUUUUUCUCUUUUUAAUCGAGAUGGGAUUUCAUUAUGUUUCCCAGGCUGAUCUUGAACUCCUGACCUCAAGCAGUUCUCUUACCUAAGUCUUCCAAAACACUAGGAUUACAGGCAUGAGCCUCUGUCCCCAGAUAGUUCAUAAUCCUUGAUAUGUUUAAGUGGCUAAUCCCUUAACCUCAAAAAUAAAUGGGCAUAAUCUCAAGAAAUCAAAAUAUAUUUUAUUUUUUAAAAUGGUUUGCCACUGAUGUUGAAUAAAUCACUUGACCUCCCAAGACAUUUUUUCUUUUCUUUUUUCUUUUUUUUUUUUAAGAAAGGGCCUCACUACUACCCAGGCUAGAGUACAGUGGCAAAAUCACAGCUCCCUGCUGCCUCAGCCUCCUGAACCCAAGCAAUCUUCCCACCUAAGCCUCUCAAGUAGCUGGGAUUACAGGCACAUGCCACCAUGCCCAACUAAUUUUUUAAAUUUAUGUAAAGAUGGGGUCUUACUAUGUUGCCCAGGCUGGUCUCAAACUUCUGGACCCAAGUGAUCCUCCCACCUUGGCCUCCCAAAGUGUUGGGAUUAAAGGCAUGAGCUACCACCACAUUCAGCCUCAAGGCAUUAUUUUUAUUUGAAAAAUAAAUAAAUAAUGAAGGGUCCAUUUCAUGGCAUCUCACCAGGCAAAAUGACACAAAGUAGGCCUAUUCCUAAGCUGACAACCAACAUCAGUUACAACAACCAAGGUCUUCUCUCUUCAUCUUCUCGACUUAUGUCAGUAAACAUCGGAACUUUGGUCUCAUGAGAGGUCUUGACAACCACAAGUCAUGUGUUUUCUAAUCAAAAUUGAACAAUUUUUAAACUCUUUGUCACACAUUUAGGGAAAUUCAAUACAUUGUCCUUCAGGUAAUUAAAAGCAGCACUAAACCAAGUGGUCCGAUUUUUGGGUAGCCAUUUAUGUUUCAGUUAAGAAAAAGAGGCCAGGUGCGGUGGCUCACACCUGUAAUCCCAGCACUUUAGGAGACUGAGGUGGGCGGAUCAUGAGGUCAGGAGAUUGAGACCAUCCUGGCCAAAAUGGUGAAACCCCGUCUCUACUAAAAUAUGAAAAACUAGCCGGGCAUGGGUGUGUGCCUGUAGUCCCAGCUACUCAGGAGGCUGAGGCAGGGAAAUCACUUGUACCCGGGAGGCAGAGGUGCAGUGAGCCACGAUCAUGCCACUGAACUCCAGUCUGGUGACAGAGCAAGACUCUAACUCAAAAAACUAAAAUAGAAAAGGAGACUAUGAAGAUUUUUCAUUUAUUUUAGGGAAAUUUCAUACAAAAAUAUAAUUACUCUCUAAAAGUCUUUUUUUUUUUUUUUUCCGAGAUGGAGUCUCACACUGUCAGCCAGGUUGGAGUGCAGUGGCAUAAUCUUGGCUCAUUGCAACCCCUGCCUCCUGGGUUCAAGUGAUUCUCCUGCCUCAGCCUCCCGAGUAGCUGGGAUUACAGGCACCAGCCACCAUGCCCAGCUAAUUUUUGUAUUUUCAGUAGGGACGGGGUUUCACCAUGUUGGCCAGGCUGGUCUCGAACUCCUGACCUCAGGUGAUCCACCCACCUCGGGCCUCCCAAAAUGCUGGGAUUACAGGUAUGAGCCACUGGGCCCAGCCUCUAAGGAUCUUAAAGAUAAAACUUUACACACUUGUAGUCAGAAAAUCACAACACUUUAUAUUUAUUAGGAGGGUCCAAUUGAAUUACAUGAUCCUAACUAAAAACAGAUGAAUUUUCUUAUCUCUAUGCUGUAAAAAUCAGGAACUAUUUCUUUGAUAAUAGAAAGGCCAUGUCACAGACAAAGGGGAAAGUGGGGAAUAAGAUAAGAAAAAUUCCGUAUUCAUUUUUUUGUUUGUUUGUUUUGAGACGGAGUUUCGCUCUUGUUACCCAGGCUGGAGUGCAAUGGCGCAAUCUCAGCUCACCGCAACCUCUGCCUCCUGGGUUCAAGCAAUUCUCCUGCCUCAGCCUCCCGAGUAGCUGGGACUACAGGCGCGCGCCACCGUGCCGAGCUAAUUUUUGUAUUUUUAGUAGAGAUGGGGUUUCACCAUGUUGACCAGGAUGGUCUCGAUCUCUUGACCUCGUGAUCCACCCGCCUCGGCCUCCCAAAGUGCUGGGAUUAUAGGCGUGAGCCACGGCGCCCGGCCCCGUAUUCCAUUUUUUAACACUUGGUAUAUGUGUGUAUGUAUACAUGUUAUUUUUUGUGACACAGAUGUUCUCUGUUUACAUUAGAUUUUUCCAAACCUUUGGCAGUCAGACACGGUUAUUCACGCCUUAAUCCCAGCACAAUGGGAGGCCAAGGCCAUAGGCUCAUUUGAGCUCAGAAGUUUGAGACCAGCCAGAGUAACAUGAUGAAACCCCAUUGCUACAAAAAAUACAAAAAUUGGCUGAGUGUGGUGGCGCCGUGCCUGCAAUCCCAGCUAAGGUCAAGGUUUCGUGAGCCAUGAUUGCCCCCACUGCACUCCAGCCUGGGAGGGGGAAAAAAAAGCUGAGAGGAAAGAACAGGAGAUCUACAGAGGAUGGAGGAAAGAAAGCAGAGUUGGGUGGUGAAGACCCAUUCUUAGUAUUCACCCAGGUCAUUCUGCCAGCACCCAGAAGACAUUUCAUACAUAUUUGAGGAAGAAAGGGAGGGAGCAUGGACUCUCCAAAUGCAGGGAGUCAACAUCUGUAGUUCCAACUAUGAAAGCAGCUUGAAGAACCAGAACAUUGACCUAUUCAAGAUUUUUGCAGAGGAAUCAUUCGGAUCAGUCCUUCAUGCAGGCUGGUGUAAGAGCCUCUCAGUAUCUACAACCAAAGCCCAUCUCUCCUGUGGUUCUGAAAUUCUUCAUUUUUUUGCAAUAGCUCUAACGAACCCUCAUGAAGUGAUAAACAUUUAGUUUCUAUGUGGAAAUGACACAGAAGAAAAAGCUGGUAUUAAAACUGAAGACACACUGAAGUGUAUUUUUCUUAGUCAGAAAUUUUGGAUAAAUGAAUGAGUGGAGAAAAGCAAGUGUCUUAGGGCUCAAUAUUUGUCCUUCAAUUACUUUUUUGGUUGUGAUCCCUGGUACAUGCCACAUUCUGUUCAGACUCCCUCUUCUCUGCUAAAAAACAUGCCUGUGCAGGGGCAGUUCCCAAGCUAGUAGCGGGUACACUCUCACACAUUUAUGCCUUUGCUAUUCAAUAAAUUAGAGAAAAUCCUAACUUUUCAUGUUUUAAAUAGGGAAUAUAUUCAAAUGGAUCAAAAAUCAAGAAAAUAGAAUGUUUUGAAUAGGAAAUACAUUCAAAUGGAUCAAAAAUCAAGAAAAUACAAAAAGGUAUAUAUAGAAGUUCCUCUUUGACCAGUCCUGAUCACCAAAUUUCCCCACUCCACCCUCUAUAGAGAAUCACCUUAAAAGCUUUUUCUGUAUCUUUCUAGUGUUUCUUCAUGCAAAUAAAAGAAAAUUCGAUUAUAUAUUUCUAUUCUCUCCCUUUUUAUUAUACAAUGUUCUGUACAUUGCUUUUUUCAAUGACAGUAUAUACUGGAGAUCGUUGAAUAUCAAUAUAUAAAAAGCUGCCUCAUUUUUAAAAUAGUUUCAUAGUAUCCCAUUGUGGGAGAGUGGGUUAUAUAAUCAAUUGUUCCAGUGGUUUUUUUUUUUUUUUUUUUUUUUUGCAGACUAUGCCACAAAUGUAACCAUGUGCAUGUCAUGUUUACAUGUAUAGGUACAGCUAUAUGAGAAAUUCCCACCCAUAGGAUUCCUGUGCCAUAGGUCUCAAGUGUCUGUAUUACUUUGGCAGAUAUUACCAAAUUGUCCCCCAUAAUAAUCGUGCUGUCUUGCACUCCCACCAGCAAUGUAGGAGUCCCUAUCUCCCCACCGCCUAAACAUAUUUUCAGAUUAGGUAUUUCUCUUUGCUAUAGAUUAUCUUAAACAGAAAAUGUCAGGGAGGAAGUCUUUUUUUUGUUCCUAUACACUAAGAUUGCUUACAAAAAAUGGUAAAAAAAAUAGAAAACUAAUUUUGGAAAAUGUAUUGGGUCACUGAAUCAAAUGCCCAAUAAUACUUUAAUAUGUCAUUUACUUUUGCAAAAGUAUACAUUUUACCCAAAAUGAAGAGGAUACUAAUUAAGGAAAGUAUCAUAGAAAAUUAUAUAUUUCUUCUACUGAGGCAAUCACUGAUUGUCAGUGGAUUCUAUACACUAAAUUAUUUCAGAAUUUACACAUCUGAAAAUUAUCAAAUAUACAAACUCUAAUUAUUGUACUAUUGAUAAUUAGAAAAAGGAUUUAUAAAGCAUUUAUGUCAAUAUUUCCCAGUCUAUUAUAUAUCAAAAAAGUACUCAUAAUGAAACCAAAUUAUUUUUGUCUUCAACUUGAACAGCUUUUCAAUAUUUCAAGUUGAAACCAAGAUAAGCCUGUACAUUGAGGCUGAAGAAUUAUACUUUUUUCCAAAUAUAACAGUUUUGAAAACCAAUUUAUGAAUUGUAGUAGCUAACUUCCAAACAGUUUCGACUCCCAUUUUUUGACAUGGAUCAGAAUGAAAAAAACCCAGAAGCCAAUAUCCAAACUUCACCCCAGACUUUCCUACGGUUCAGGCAGUAGUUGAAGACUGAGACAGAUGUUCUGAAUGACAAUUUUACGGUGACAACUGUGUGUUAAUGUCAUGUGAUAACAUGUCUGUAGCUUUUUUGGAAAUAAUCUAGGAUGACAGAAUGGCAAGUAUGUCUUCAAAAAUAUGUAUUUAUCCUAAUAGCUGAAAUACUUUAUAUUUUAAGACUGGCAUAACUUUUGUUCCACUUAUUUAGUUUAUAACUUCAUGUAGUGUAAAUUCAGCCUGAAAUUGAUUUUAAUUUUUGAAAAAAAUUUUGGGCCUCAUCAAAAUUAAAAACUUUUACUCUAUAAAAUACUCUGUUAAGAGCACAAAAAGAAAACAGCCAGGUACAGUGGUUCACACCUGUAAUCCCAGCACUUUGGGAGGCCAAAGCAGGCAGAUCACUUUGAGCUCAGGAAUUCAAGACCAGCCUGAGCAACAUGGCAAAACCUCUUCUCUACAAAAAGAUACAAAAAUUAGCCAGCCAUGGUGGCAUGUACUUGUGGUCCCAGCUACUCCAGAGGCUGAGGCUGGAGAAUCACUUAAACCUAGGAGGCAGAGGUUGCAGUGAGCUGAGAUCGCACCAUUGCAUACCAGCCUGAGCAACAGAGUGAGGCCCUGUUUCAAAAAAAAAAAAGUUUAUCUAGAAUAUAUAGAGAAUUCUCAAAACUCAAUGGUUAAAAAAAAAAUGAAUAAUCCAAAUAAAAAUUGGAGAAAAUACAUGUACAGAAAUUUUACUGAAGGGCACAUGUAGAUGACAGAUAGACACAUUAAAAGAACUUCAACAUCAUUAGCCAUUAGGGAAAUGUAAGUGAAACCACAGUGAGAUACCACUGCACCCUAUCUGAAUGGCUAAAAUGUUUAUUUUUUAGUGACAACACCUAAUUCUGGAAAGGACGAAGAGAAACUGCUAGUAGAAACAAAAUGGAGAGCCACUCUAGAAAAGAGUUUGACAGUUUCUUUUUUCUUUUUUUUUUGAGAUGGAGUUUCGCUCUUGUUGCUCAAGCUGGAGGGCAAUGGUAUGAUCUUGGCUCACUGCAACUUCCACCUUCCGGGUUCAAGUGAGUGUCUGCUGCCUCAGCCUCCUGGGAGUAACUGGGAUUAUAGGCAUGCACCACCAUGCCCAGCUAAUUUUUGUAUUUUUAGUAGAGAUGGGGUUCACCAUGUUGGUCAGGCUGGUCUCAAACCCCUGACCUCAGGCAAUCCACCCACCUCAGCCUCUGAUAGUGUUGUGAGCCACCUCUCCUAGCCAGCAGUUUCUUAUAAAACUAAAUAUGCAAUACCAUAAGGCCCAGCAGUUGCACUCUUGAGCAUUUAUCCCAGAGAAGUGAAAAUUAUAUUAAUGCAAAAACCUGUACAUCGCUCUUUCCCGGGGCUCCCAGUAUCCUGGCAGUUUCCUGAAUAUUUGUCAUGGUAAUAAGCUAAAGGCCCUGGAAGAAGUGAAGUUGGGAAACUGUGGAUUGCCAAGACUCAAAGAAGGACUGGGGUGUCAUUUACUUUGAAUGAAGAUCUAGCAAAUAUUCAUGACAUUGGUGAAAAAGCAGCUUCAGUCAGUGCCCAUAAAAACAUCCAUUUGUCUUGCAACAUGUUGGAGGACAGAUAUUAGCAAUAUUUACUGAGGGUUCAUCAUAUAAGCUGUCUUUGGAAGGAACAGUGGUACAAAGAGCUGGAUGCCAACCAGCUGCCAGUGAAAACUACAUGAGAUUAAAAAGAUUGCAAAUAGUAGAAUCUUCCAAACCUGUAAGGCUAUCACAACAACUGGACAACUGGACAAAGUUGUAACAGCCAGUUUCGAACCUGUUGCUAAUCAUCAAUACAAUAUUGAAUAUGAAAGGAAAAAGAAAGCAGAUGGAAAGCAAGCUCCAGCUAAUAAACAACAUGUUUCAGAAAUGCUAUUUUCAGCCUUUGAGAAACAUCAGUAUUAUCAUUUUAAGGACUUUGUGGACAUCACAAAACAAUCUGUGGAACCUAAAGGAACUCUUAAAAGAAAUAGGUUUUCAGAAUGUAAAAGAGAUCCACAAAAACACGUGGGAGCUGAAGCCAGAGUACAGACAUCAUCAAGGAGAAAAAAUGAGUGAUUAAGACAGCUCCUAGCCAGCAUGUUAGUGAAACAACUAACAGCGAUGCUAAGCAAAACGUGUUGAUACUGGAAGGCUUGAACAACAUUAAGUUAAUAGGGGUUAAGUGACAAGACUUUCCUUCCUCUUGGUAAAUUUUCUAAACCUAUAAUUAUUGUAAACUUUCUUCAGUGUUUUUUGAGGAGAAAGAACAAAUUUAUUUAAAGACUUAACUUGUAUUAAACCAGAUUAUUCACAGUGGGAAUAAGGGCUGGAGGAUUAAGAGGAUUUCUCUUAAAUAUUAGCUUUUAGCAUGGAAAAUUAGGAAAUGGUUUUUACAUGAGGACUCUCUGCCCUUGCUGUAUCUCUGAGGAGCUGAGGUAGUACAGAUUCAAGAACAGCAUAGUAAGAAAAAAAGUCAACUACAGAAACUCUUAAAAUGAAUAAAAAGCCAAAUUUCCUUAUUUUGAGAGGAAAAAAAAAAACCCUGUACAUUAACACUCACAGUAGUUUCACCUGUAAUAGCCAAACCCUGGAAACAACUCAGAUGUUCUUCAAUGGGUGAGUGGUCAAACCAAGCAUGUUACCAGAGACUACUCUUCAGCAAUGAAAGGAAACAAGCCAUUGAUACACACAACCAUCUGGAUGAAUCUCCAGGGAACCAGCCUGAGUUAAAAAAGCCAAUCUCAAAAGAUUGCACACUACAUUACUCCAGUUAUAUAACAUUCUUGAAAUGACAGAGUUAUAAAAAUGGAUAACAGAUUAAUGGGGUUAGGAAUGGCAGGGGGAGAGGAGGGAAAUGUGGGUAGAAGAGGACAUCAAAAGGGAUCCUUGUGGUGAUAAACCUGUUCUGUAUCUUGACUGGUGACAAAUACACAAACCUACACAUAUUACUCAGUUGCAUAGAGCUAAAUACAUACAAAUUAGUAUAUGUGAAACUGAGGAAAUAUAAUAAUAUUGAUAGAUUAUAUCAACAUCAAAAAAUGGUUGUGCCAUUUUACAUUCCCACCAGAUUUAUAUGAGAGUUUUAAUUUCUCCACAUCCUCACCCCAAUACUUAUUACUGUCAGUCUUUUUCAUUAUAGCCAUUCUAAUAGUGUGCAGUGGUAUCCCAUUGUGAUUUUAACUAGCACUUCCCCUAAUGGCUAAGGAUGUUGAGCAUUUUCUGUGCCCUUACCUACUUAUGUAUCUACUUUGGUGACAUGUUUAUAUAAAUCCUUUGCACAUUUUUAAUUAAGUUAUUUGUAUUUAUUUUAGUUAUAGGAAUUCUUUAUAUAUUCUAGACAGAACUCCUUCAUCAGAUGUAUGAUUUUCAAUUAUCUUUCCCAGUUACUGGAUUUGUUCUUAUUUUCUUCAUGUCUUUUGAAGGGCAACCUUUUUUGUUGUUGUUUUUGUUUUUGUUUUUUUUUUCUUGAGAUGGAGUCUCACUCUGUCACCCAGGCUGGAGUGCAGUGAUGUGAUCUUGGCUUACUGCAACCUCUGCCUCCCUGGUUCAAGUGAUUCUCGUGCCUCAGCCUCCCAAGUAACUGUGAAUACAGGCAUGAACAACCACACGUGGCUAAUUUUUGUUCUUUUAGCAGAGACGAGGUUUCGCCACGUUGGCCAGGCUGGUCUCAAACUCCUGACCUCAUGUGAUCUGCUCACCUUGGCCUCCCAAAGUGCAUGGAUUAUAGGAGUGAGCCCACGCCCAGCCUGAAGAGCAGAAAUUCUUAUUUUGAUCAAAUCCAGUUUAUCAAAUUUUUCUUCUAUGGAUCAUGCCCUGAUGUCCUAUCUAUGAAAUCUUUGCCUAACCGAAGAUCACCAAGAAUUUCUCCUAUGUUUUCCUCUAACAGUUUUAGAGGCUUUGCUCUUACAUUCAGGUCUAUAAUCUUUUCUGGUUAAAUUUUUGUGUAUGAUAUGAGGCAGGAUUCUAAGCUGAUUUUUUUACAUAUGGAUAUUCAGUUUUUCAACACCAUUUUUUGAAGACUUCUCAUUGAAUUUCCAUGGACCUUCAUUAAAACUCAACUGACAAUAAAUUGAAGGGCUUGUAUCUAGACUUUCUUUCUGGUCCAAUGACCUUUGUUCUACUGUUAUGCCAAUACCAUCCUGUUUUAAUUAUUGGAGCUUUAUAUUAAUAGUAAGCUUUAAAAUAAGUACUAUAGGUUCUCCUACUUUACUUUUUGUCAAAACUGUUUUGGCUAUUCUAGAUCCUUUAUAUUUUUAUGUAAAUUUUAUGUUGAAUGUGUUAGGUUUUUUUGAUUUAGAUAGGAAUUGCACUGAUCCUUUAGGCGAAUUUGGGGAGAAUUUCCAUCUUAAUAAUAUUGAUUCUUCUUUUGUUAAAUAUACUCUCAACUAUUUUAUUCUUUUUUAGUACAGUUUUGAAUGGAUUUUUUUUUACUUUUGUUUCUAGAUUUUUCAUGGCUAGUAUGCAGAAAUGCAGUUGUUUUCUGCAUAUUGAUCUUGUAUCCUAUGACUUUGUUCAAGUUCUAUUUCUUUUGCACCAUCAGCUUUUUCCUGAGAAUGUGUGAUGGCGAAGAGUACAACGACUUUUAGGUAGUUUGGUGCCAGUGUCAUGAUUCAUGCGAAGGCACCAGCAGUUUACCCAUCACUGCUUUUGUACUAACAGUGCAAAUGUCAACCGGUGAAAAAAGACAAUAAUCUCUGAGUGUUACCUUGAUUUUGCAGACCUCACGGAAGGUUCCUAGUGGUCUGCAGACAACACUGAGAGAACCAGUGAUCUAGAUCAGGGGUCUCCAACUCCCAGGCUAUGGACUAGUACUGGUCCGUGGCCUGUUAGGGACUGGCCACACAACAGGAGGUCAGCGGCAGGCAAGCGAGUGAAGAUUCCUCCAUAUUUAUGGCUGCUCCCCAUCACUCACAUUACUUCCUGAGCUCUGCCUCCUGUCAGAUCAGCAGCAACAUCAGAUUCUCAAAGGAGUAUGAACCCUGUUGUGAACUGCACAUGCAAGGGAUCUAGAUUGUACAUUCCUUAUGAGAAUCUAAUACCUGAUGAUUUGUCACUGUCUCCCAUUACCCCUAGAUGGGACCAUCUAGUCACAGGGAAACAAGCUGAGGGCUCCCACUGAUUUUAUAUUAUUAUUAGUUAUAUAAUUAUUUCCUUAUAUAUUGCAAUGCAAUAAUAAUAAAAAUAAAUGUAAUAUGCUUGAAUAAUCCCAAACCAUCCUGCCCCCCUGCCAGGUCCGUGUAAAAAUCAUCUUCCACAAAACUGGUCCCUGGUGCCAGAAAGGUUUGGGACCAAUGAUCUAGAUGGUCUCCUAGCUCCUAUACAAGUGUAAAAUGCUGUAACUUUUAAAACCUAAGAUAAACAGUUUUUACCAGAUUUGUCUUUACAACAUUUCCUUAAAAGACUGGUUUUCUUGGCAAUCAAUAUUUCUUAGGUAAUUGCUACAUGUGGAAAAAUGUAUCUAGUCCUUUGAGAGAGAUGGAAAGGAAAUAGAACACUGGUCCUAAUCUCAAGAAAAUGGCAAAAGAAGGCUCUCUGGGUAGAUAAGUGUCUAGGAAAGGAACCUGGUGUCACUGUAGGCUGAUAUAUUUGACCUUAAAUUUGUUCUACUAAAAAUAAACAAAAUCCUUAUAGUAGAGAUACAAUAUAUAUCAAACCUCAAGACUAGCAGUAAAACUAGGCAAAAAUUUAUCAUUCUAAACUAGUACAACCUAAUGUUUCAUUUCCAAAUAACCUUAAGACAUAAAGUAAUAUCAAACUAAUUUUUACAACUUUUUCCAAAAGCUUUAAUUCUAUAUUAUUGUUUAUAACAGAUCCCUGGUUGGAAGCUUAAAAUAGCCACUUAACUGAUAUGUUUUCUACAUUUCAUAUAUAAUUCAAAUUGUGUAUAUAAUAUGAUGCUUACAGCUCACUGGACAAAUUUACUAUUAUUUUAGCUUUUCCUUUGAGGGUAAUGAAAUAUUGUUCAUAUAUUCAAGGUAAAUAAAUAGUCUCAAAGCUUCAGUGGGAUUCCCCAAGUCCUGACAUCCUUAAUCUUUUUAGUUAGAAAAAAAAAAAGGACUAAAGCACUCUUUCAUGUGAAGAAUGAAAGAAAUUGAGAAAGCAAAACUAAUUAUAUACAGUACAGGGAAGCAGGGAAGGGUAAAGAUUAGUUUAGGGAUAAAUUGAGUUAAUAACCGUUUAAGAGAAACUAGUUACAGACUAGAGUUCAGAUAUGAAAAUAAUCACACAAUUUCAGAGCUGGCAGAGAAUUCAGAGAAUAUCUAGUUCUAGCCUAACAUUCCUUCUUUGGCAGAGGAGGGAGCUAAGUAUUUCUAACUUCUCCUUCAGUGGGUUCCAUCCUUGCAUCUCUGCAUUUCAACAGAACUUUUGUGGUUUUAAUACUCUCAACAUCACAAAUUGCAUUUCCCUAGAAGACAGGCUGGCUUCUAAAACGUUAGUGAGUGAAUUAUUAAAAUGUACGCCAUUCUUAUCUGAAGUUCCAUAACAUGAUUAGUAACACAGCCAUCCUGACUUUGUCUAAUUUGCUUUAUGCCUCAACUAUGACUAAUUGUGAAGUUUUAUUUUCUAAUGAAUUUCUGUUAUUAAAUAUUCAAAAUCACCUCAACCUUAUUUACUAUCAAGUCAGCAAGAGCAUCAACUUUAUUCCACUUUAUUCUUCUUUUCCUGAAAUACGCAUAUGGCAUUAUUUUGCUCAUGCUGCAUACCGUAUCUUUGCUGGCUCAUUGUUUCCAACUACACUCAGGAUAAUUGUGACCAUAUGACACACUUUACAAUAAAGAACUCAAGUUUCUUCAGAAUGUAUACAUUAGAUCAUUAAAUCAGCUGCAUGCUUUCAAAUAUGCCAUUUGUUUUCCCUAUUUCCUAUUCAUCAUCACCUAUAUCACUGAUAAGAUUUUGAGAUCCACUACCUAAGUCUGUAUGUGGGGAUCUCCAUUAGUCUGCUUCGUCUUACUUUGUUCUGCUUUGGUUUUGCCUGCCUGUUUCUUUUAAAUAGGCACUACCAUGUCCGACCAUAGAGACUGAUGAUUAAAAUCAACUAUUAAACUUUUCCACACAGAGCCAGUGUGUGAUCCUCCAGCUUUUCUCUUCACCUGACCUAGAGAUCGGGAAACUAUGUGUCCAAGGAUCAAAAUCAAAGUUAUUACUGAGUCACUGCAGUGAGAACAGAUGCCAUGGAGAGUUGCCUAACCUGCACAGCACUUUCUGUAAGCAAAAAAUGAAGUCUUGUGGAAAGUCAAAAAAAAAAAUGGGGGACUUAUUGCAUGUCCAGGUCAGAGCACACAUUUCUACAAAGGGAGCUCUGACCCAGAUACACAAUAAGGCCCCAAAAUGUGCUUGUACAUUGUUACAGCAAAAUACAGGGCUCCACAUGGACAAUCUUUCCUCUAUUCCAGGAAAAUCAGAGUUUUUUUCUUCCUAGCAUGAAUCUUCUCUCCAUUAUGAAUUAAACUUUAAAGUACUGACACAUAUAACCAGCACAAACCUUACAAUUUCAAUAUUGAGGAUACCUAACUUUUCUUCUUUAAAGUUCCAUUCUUCACCAUCCAAUGAUCCUUUGGUUGUAUGCUUACAAAAUAAGUAGAAGCCUCAAGUUCCUCACUUUUGGAUUGGUAUUCUUACAACAAAGAGAGUUAUUAAAAAGAGAUGUUUCUUUUGAUUCCUAUCCUUCAGGUGACUGAGACUCUCAGGGGUGAUAAGCACAAGUCUUGGGUGAACAGUCUUUCCUUGAAGAAAUAAAUCUUCAUGGCUCUGAAACCCUGUCUUUAAAAGUUCUUUUCUCCUUGUUUCCUCUCAUCCACCUUGUUAUUAACAUUUAUAUACUUCAGAUUCUAAAAAGUUAAGACCACAGCAGAAACUGAAACACCGAAUAUUCGAUAGUGAAAGAUGUGGUUAGUGAGUAGCAACAAUUCCAUCUCUUUCCAUCUAAAUGGAUUUUAGCAAGAAGCAGUCCCCCAGAAUCCAUCUCCUACAGGAACUAAAGUUUGUAAUUCGCUAUAGAUCAGCUCCUGUUAUAAGUGCUUUUCAUGUAUUAACUCAUUUAAUACAUCAACCAUAUGCAUGGGCACUCUCUUUAUCUGCAGUUUUCCAGAGGAACAAUUAACGUGUCUAAGUCAUGCCAGGGGACAAAGGCACCCAAGCCUGUUAUAUUUACUGUUAGGUCACACCACCCUCUCUUUCUGUGGAACACCCAAAGAAUAUUGCUUAGAGCUUCUUGAGGAGCCAUUAUUUUGUGCCUAUCUUCUAGAACUGAGUUCCUAGACAGCACGGUCUUUUGUUCCUGUAUGGCCUGCCACCAGCCUGUACCUGGUGACUUGGACCAUGGGUGACCAUAACCAUGAACCAUCAAUGGUUGUGGUUCAUACUUCCAGAUACUCACUUCUGCUAAGCCCUUCCUCUGGACUCUCUUUUCUCUGGCCCAUAAUCCUCUGCGGUAGCUACCAGAACGAUCUUCAUUUUAUAGAAGAGGAAACUGACAGGCACAGAGGUUAACUAACAAGCCAAUGUCACAAGGUCAGGAAGACAGCAGAGCUUUGGGUCAGUCUGCCCAAGGAGUCCAGCUUCAGGGCCCACACUCUGAGCUACUGUGCCAAGCAAGCUGUCUUGAAUAAAAGGAGGACUUCUCCAUCCCCCAGCUCAUAGAGGGCACUCAAGACCACAGUCAAAACCAUUUACAGAAUUUCUUCUCUACUCUGCAUUUAUCAUACAUCCUGAAUUCUUGGACUGGUCAGAGGGCAAGAGCCUGUUCAAAGGAAAAGGCGUAUGGAUAGGGGAUAGGGUAGACGCCAUACUUUUAUGACAUUUGUAUGAACGCUCUGUCUCAAUCCUGAAGCAAUUACAUAACAAAAGCAUAACAAAAGAACAAAAUCUAUCCUUGGUCACACACGGUGACUUAUUUUGUAGUAUCUCUUUUGAGAUCUGCAGUGGCCAGAGAGCAUGUUCUCAUGAAUGGCCUGUCCUGGGCAUCACAAGCUUUAUAAUCACCUCAUUCUGUGCUGUUGGAAGAUGUUUUUGAUUGCUACUGAGUCGACUAGGUACCAACUUUUACAUUCCAGUCCCCCCCCAGAAAGAAAGAAAAACCUCAGAAGCUCAGUUUUUGAAGCCAUACCUGGUCAGUCAUGUCCCCAAGUGACCCUAUAAUGAUUCAUAUUGAAGGGAAGAGAAGAUUUUCUUUGCUUUGAAGUUUGCAGCUAUUACAGACUGUACUUGUAAAUCCCUCCUUCCUGUCUAGGACGGGUAGGAGAUGAAGGAGAGAAGAAUCCCUCAGCCUCACAGGAUGGGGUGAGAGGAAAAUUAGCACAAAGAAAAAUAUACCACUUAGUUUUAUUUGUACCAUUUUAAGAUGCCAUGACAAUAACAACAGUAAUGCCCAAGUAAUAGGACUAAGUAGCAGGGGAUAUUAACAUCUGGAAUGGAUAAAGGCACGUAAGUUCAUUUAUAUUAUCUUCUUUUUAUGGUUGUGGAUAAAUUAUAUGUUUCAGUUUAUGAUUACAAAUUAUAGCAGUUCAAAAUAACUAACAUUUGUGUGGUAUAUGUUUAGUUUGCAGGAUUCUUUCAUAUGCAUUAUCUCAUUUGAGCCCCCCAAAUGGGUAUCACAUCUUUGUGGCAAGUAUGAGAACUAUCCACAUUUAACAAAUACACAGACACAGACUUCCAACAGAACUGGCUUACCCAAGGUAACACAGUUAGAAACAGGUCAAUCUUGUACUUGAACCUAAGUCUUACAGGUUCACAACCAUCUUGAAUAUAGGGGAGAACAGCCUUAUUUUGUAGUGCUAAGCUGGCGAGGCCUGGUAGUAGAACAUCUGUUAUUGUACUCUGACUUCAUGUGCUGAUGUCUUUAGGGACUACUUGGGUGAGAGCCUAAGGGGAUGCAGGAUACAUGGCCCCAAACUUUUUUUUUUUUUUUUUUUUUGAGAUAAAGUCUCGCUGUGUCACCCAGGCUGGAGUGCGGUGGUACAAUCUAAGCUCAUGCCAACCUCCACCUUCCGGGUUGAAGUGAUUCACGUGCCUCAGCCUCCUGAGUAGUUGGGAUUACAGGUGCACACCACCUUGCCCAGCUAAUUUUCGUAGAGGGGUUUCACCAUGUUGGCCAGGCUGACCAUAGUGCCUCUAGAGCAGUUAUCCUCAACGUAUGGCUGGUGAACCAGCGGCAUUAGCAUCACCUGAGAACUUGCUAGAAAUGCAAAUUCUCAGGCCCUGCCCCAGACCAACUGAACCAGAAACUCUGGGGAUGGGGCCUAGCCAUCUGUGUUUCAGUGAGCCCUCCUGGGGAUUCUGAAGCUGCUAAGUCUUGAGAGCUGCUUCUCCACAGCAAUGACUCCCAACCUUGGCUGUCCUUGGGAAUCCCCUGGGGGGCUUUAAAGACUACUAAUGCCUGUGUCCCAACUCCAAAGAAUCUAAUUUCAUUGGAGUAGGACACAGUUUUUUAACCUCAGCGCCAGUGACAUUUUGGGUGGGAUGAUUAUUUGUUGCGGCAGGGGUGGUCUGGCCUGUACAUUGCAGAAUGUCUUGCAGCAUCCCAAACCUCUACCCCUAGAUGCCAAAAGCACACCCACCCCCAGCUGAAGCAGGCAAAAUUGCUCCCUGGUUGAUAAGCACUGGCCUAGGGUGAUGGCCAAGGAACUGGGAUAUUUAAGAACUCCCAAAAUAAUUAUAAUAUACAGGCAACACUGAGAACUAUGCCUCUGGAGAGUCUCUAUUAAUGAAUAGCUGUGGAUGUACAAUGGGCUAGAGCACAGUGAGAGCUAAGCUUUACAGCAAUGUGUGUAAAGUGAGAAUAAAUCCCCCUGUGGUGAAGACUCAGGCAGUUUACUGAAGACUAAAGCACAUGAGUUUUAGGGCAUAAAUUUCACAAUUACUUGGCUCCUUACAUUUUUGUUUACUUUCUGGUUGUCUGGUAUAUUCCAGAAAACUGAUGUAAACAGGUAUAUUCCUUAUAUUUAAGAGGUCCCAACCAAGUGAGAUCUUGUAUUGCACUAACUAUAUUGAUGAAUGUACAUCCUGCAUUUGGCUCUAUCCAUUCUAAAAACAGGGUGCAUGUCAGUGUAUCAUAUGGUAAAAGUUCUUACCUAAAUCUGUUUUUGACAGGUUAAAAAGUGCAGACUGUCAAUUUUAUGAUGUUGAUUUUUAUACAAUCCAAAUCAGCCACACAAAUGCAAAAUUUCUGUAUUAAUCUGUGCUGUUAGAAGUGCUUUCAUUUUCAGGUGGGGAUCGGGGCUUUAACUAUAUUUCAAUUAUAGAAAAAUCUGCAGAGACAGAACAAAGUCAUGUAAAAUCCUUGCUCAGCAGAUUGCCUCCUGUGUUUCCGUGAUUCUUUCUGUGGUGUUCUUCCAUGAUCUACUUGAGAACAGAAGAAUAUGAUGUGCAUUUAGAUCACGGGAUGUGCCUCACCUCCAAGGGCCUGCCCUGCAGCUCUUAGGAAGGUGGGCAGUCUCAACAGCCAAAAGUGAAGUAUCUUCAAGCAAAGAGUGAGUGACAGCCUCUCUGCAGCCUAGACUCUUAAAUAGCACAGAAUUUUCGCACUAUCUCAAACAACUUAAUGGCAGGCUUCAUUCAACAUAAAGAGUGGGAACACUACUUUGAGACACUGAUAAACAACUUUCAGAUAGAAAAUAAAUUACAGGAUGAAUGUGUUUUCAGGGCAAAAUUGAUACGAUCUCAUUUCAAACUAUGAAAAUAUUGCCCUGAUUUAAUGAGUUGGGGUCAUUGAUUCAUCUAACACCUACUAUGUGCUAGGUACUGUGUAAUGAAUGUCCUUGGAAAUUAUAAAUAUGAGGGUGGAAAAUUAUAAAUAUGAAGGUACAUACUCUCUUUUGUAGCAAAAAUAAGCUAUGACUGACCUGAGGUGUCCGAUUAACCCUUUGAACCAAUGCGACUUGUCAGUUUGUCGGACUCAUUUGGUUUUUUUUUCGUUGACAGGAGCGUGUUAACAUUAAUGAAAUUAGUGAGUUUUUUUGCCAAGGUCUAGGAUGUAUUCUUCUAAACAGUUACCUAUUUAUUCCUCUCCUAGGACCUCUCUAUUCCUCUCCAGUUACCUAUUUAUUGCUCUAUUUCAUUAACAUGCUUUUAAAAAUCAAAACCUUUUAAUUAAGCAAUAGAAUUGCUCUCCAGAAAACUACUUUGGGAAAAAAAAAAGAUCAUAAUAGGUUACUAAAAGAUAUUAUUUCCAUAUGUUCCCACUUACUUUAUCUUUUUUUUUUUUUUUAAAGGCACAUGUUUCUAUGUAUGUAGCAUGUUUUCCGGAAGAAAACACACUUAGCAAUUAACAGUUGUUGCCUUUGGGCAGGGAGUUUGGGGGCCUUCACUGGAAAGGAGACUUAACCUUUCAUUACAUAAGCUUUUAUACAGCUUAAUUUUUACCAUCUUUUGUAUUAUAUUUUUAAUUUUAAGUGCUAGUAAAUAACAGGAUGCAUUCCCAGUAGUCCUUCAGAAGCUCCAAAGUGCUUCUGCUAAAUAAGAGAAAACAAAGUGAGCUACACUGUUUGCCUCCUUGAGGCCUCCUGCUUUUGCUACAACAAAGCAAGCUGAAAGGAGCCUUUGAACGUAGAACUGCUCUAACACUAUUUCCAUGGAAGAGAUUAACAAGCAGGUUCUACUUAAGGUUAGAUAGUUAAUGAGGGCCUCUUUGAGGAAGCCGCAUGGGACCAGAGUGGAAAAGGAAAAAAGGGGGAUGUUGCCUAGAGGCAGGGGCCUAAUUUCCUCCUAGCAGCAUUGGAUACUUACUACCCAUAUGUCCUUUCAGAACAAAGGAGUUACAAGUUAGGGAAGUCUACACAGGGAUUACACCUAAUAGCAUUCUCCAAUGAUUUCUUUCCUGCCUCUUUAUCUAUAACUCCCAAGAAGAAUCAAUGCUCACUCCUAGGAAAAAGAAAAAUACCACCACCACCAACACCCCUAUUUGUCUCAAAGAAAGACAAUUCCAUGAUCUUUUUGCUGCCCACUGAUUCCAUGAUGUCUUUCUUUUCUGUCCUUCUUUAUGCCUAACCCUAACCUAAUCCUAAUUAAAAGUUUAAGGAAGCAUGUAAAAGGAAAUUGAGAGGGGAAGUAUCAGAGAAUCCAUGUUCAGUUGUGGUUUUUCUGGAUCAUUUUCUUAGCACUCGCCACUUAGACCUUUACAUGAUUUCACAGUCUCCCUUAUUAAGCAAGAACAUCUUUUUGUUUUCUCUCAUUGUUAGAUGUGUGAAUUGGGAAAUCCAUUCAUGUGGCUAUCAGGGUCCUCUUAAUCUCCGGGAAUGAACAAACAAUUCAAUGGUUCCAGAGCAUAUCCCGUCACAGUGCCUACACUGUUUUAAUUACAUAUCUGUGGUCUUUGAAGAAUUAUAAUUCUGGGCCAGAAUUCUACAUUCUUAUUCUAUAAAAAGUAGUUUUCAGGUUUUCUUGUUUUGAUAGGGUGAUUCAUCCCAGAAAUAGUAUUUUAUGUCUUUACUUGCACCAAACAAGUGCAACCAACAAUAACCAGCAGUUAGCAAUGGCAUAAUUAUUUGUCAGCUUCAUGAAAACCAAAAGAAACAAAUGCAGUGUUUGUGCGAAGAGUUGUGUGGUUGUCCUUGGACAAAAGUUUAUGAGGAAAUUUUGAGAGGACACCAAUCGAGACUAUUUAUAGUGAGAUGAAGAAGAAACCAGAGGCACAAUUGGAUUGAAGAAAAAUGUUCUUUUCGAAAACUAUUUAGAAGAAAGGGAACUAAGCUUUAAAACUAAAGAGAAAAAACUUCUGUAAAUAAGUCCUAUAGGGUCUUAGCCAAAAUAACAGAAUGAGAGAUUAUGCUGUGUAACCAAGUUCUCAAAAUGCAUAGGUUCUGAUUCUUUAUCUACAGGGUACUGGUUUCCCAAUCUCUUUCAAUGGACUCGUGUUUGGACCAUACUGACCAUGAAAUUAAACCUCGCAUCAUCUUUUGGAAAUAGUAGAACAGAAAUUCAAAGUUUAUCUUAGAGUCACCAUGGCAAAAAACGUUACAAAAGAAGAGAAAAAGGCGUGUUUGUCAAGUUAGUAGGAUACUGUUUCCUAGUGAGUUAAGUUUAAAUUGAGUUACUAAACAAAAAAAUUAAAAAGGAAAUCAAUACCAUUUUACACUUGAAAAGGCAUCAUAUGUUCAGCAGGAACUUUCUUCCCCCUUUUAGUGGCUGAGCUAUUAUUUAAGCCCAUGCUCCUAGUAUAAUACCUAAUUAGACAAAUACAGAGUACUGGUAGCUAUUGUUAAAUUGUGUUUGCUACCCAUCACAGCCACUAGAGGGUGUCCACUCUUGCCUUGCAAACAAGAUUGGAAAAUGUCAACAUGGAAGAACAGAUUUUUCUGCAAAUGCUACAAACAGAUCAAGGUAACCACAUUUGUCUGUAUAGUAAGGCGACCGUUUGAGCCUAAAUAGGGAAAAAUCACUUACAUCACAUCUACCAAAGCAGAGUCAGCCCCUUAAGUGCAGAGGAUAAGGUAAGUUCAAAGUGGCUUUAGCUAUUAGCCAGCUGCCAAAAUUAGUAGCUUCUCCACCACUUUGUUUUUUUCCAAUAUUCUCCCUCACCUUUCAUUCAUAGUUUUGGCUGCUUGUCAGGAGAUAAUAUAACCUGCCAAUGCCAGUACUGAAAUGAUUUGCUUUACACAUGGUUUGGUAAGCAUAGAUAAAAAGCCAUUGCCUGCUUCUCAAUUGAGCUGUCUCCCAGAACCCCAAACUUUUGCUACUGUUUGAAAAGUAGGCAGCAUGACUAGCUGAUGUGAGAUCAAAGGCACAACUCUUCUGUUAUUAAAUUGUAUUAUAUAACUAUAAUAUAUUUAAUAUAUAUUAA